rfam:Angiostrongylus costaricensis strain Costa Rica genome assembly, scaffold: ACOC_contig0000143
UAGCUCAGUCGGUGAGAGCGUGGGUCUAAUAAGCCCAAGGUCGCAGGUACGACCCCGGC